rnacentral:rRNA from 1 species
AACGAACGCUGGCGGCAGGCCUAACACAUGCAAGUCGAACGCACCGCAAGGUGAGUGGCGCACGGGUGAGUAACACGUGGGAAUGUACCCUUUGGUUCGGAAUAACGUUUGGAAACGAACGCUAAUACCGGAUGAGCCCUGCGGGGGAAAGAUUUAUCGCCAAAGGAGCAGCCCGCGUCUGAUUAGCUAGUUGGUGGGGUAAAGGCCUACCAAGGCGACGAUCAGUAGCUGGUCUGAGAGGAUGAUCAGCCACACUGGGACUGAGACACGGCCCAGACUCCUACGGGAGGCAGCAGUGGGGAAUAUUGGACAAUGGGCGCAAGCCUGAUCCAGCCACGCCGCGUGAGUGAUGAAGGCCUUCGGGUUGUAAAGCUCUUUCGCACGCGACGAUGAUGACGGUAGCGUGAGAAGAAGCCCGGCGUAACUUCGUGCCAGCAGCCGCGGUAAU